CCACCAGCCCCUAAAAUUCUUUUUUCUAUUUCUUUUUGCAGUACUGGGGCUUGAACUCAGGGCCUACACUUUGAGCCACUCCACCAGCCCUAUUUUUGUGAAGCGAACUAUUUGCCCAGGCUGGCUUCGAACUUCAAUCUUCCUGACUCUGCCUUCUGAGUAGCUAGGAUUAUAGGCGUGAGCCACCAGCACCUGGCUUCCCUGAAAUUCUUUUUUUUUUUUUUUUUUUUUUUUUUUGGCUUUUUUUUUUUUUCUUUUCCCUGAAAUUCUUAAUGACAUAAUUAAUGAUUAUAGUUUAACCUUAUUAUAUGCAUUGGGUGAUUCUCUGAAAAGUUGCUUAUAAUGUGAAAGGGGCAUACCAAAUUAUACUUCCUACUCACUUCUGUCAUUUUCACAAUUACAUUUCAGUGGGAAAUUUGGCUUUCAGACAUAAUUUUAUAAAUGGCACUUAAGAAUCUAAAGAGUUGGCUUUGAAGAAUAUGCAGUCUGCUACCUGGGUGUGGGUAAGCCUCUGUGCAGGCUAUAAGAAAGUUACUUUUGCAAUCCAUGUAAAAAUACUACACUGCAUAUAAUUCCCAUUUCCAGGCAGGAUUUUUUUUUUUUUUUUUUUUUUUUUUUUUUUUCCAUACUGAGUUUGAAACAGCCCACUCCACCUUGAGCCACUCCACCAGCCCUUUUUUGUGAUGGGUUUUUUUGAGAUAGGGUCUCACGAACUAUUUGCCCAGGCUGGCUUCCAACUGUGAUCCUCCUGAUCUCUGCCUCAUAAGUAGCUAGGAUUACAGGCAUGAGCCACCAGUACCUGGCUUAGGUUUUAUUUUUUUAAGUAGACCCUGAGUCUCCUUUAUCUGAAGCAUUCAUCAGUUUUGCUAGAAGCAGUUUGCAUUCGCUUAGCAGUGGUUCAUGGAGGAAAACGAUCCACUGGAAACUAGGCCAGGAGCAGCAGCCCUUCCUUGUGGCCAGGACCUCAAGACAGGAGAAUCUCAGAGCAGCAGCACUGAACCUCUGCCUAUAGAGGCCUCUGACUGCUUGACAACAGCAAAACCAUAUGAUGACACCUGUACAUGGAGAAAGGUCACGGUGGACAGCUGUGGGCAGUCAAAUGUAGCACCCAAAUGUGGGUGGAAGUUUUCUGUCCACAGGUAGAUGACUUGCCUAUUCUGACUCAGGCAGGGUAAGACACUUGGACUCUCCUUGCAGUGCUAAACUCUAAUUUGGAAUCAAAUAUGGUGGACAUCUUAGUUAAAGAAUUAAAGACCAUGCUUACAGCUUAAAAAUGAAGCCUUAAGCUGCACCAAGUUGUGAAGUGAUUAAUGUUCCUCACAGUAAAACUCCAGAGACUCCAGAAUAAGUCCUUCCUGACAGAUGAUCUUUAGGAGCCAGAAGCUACAAACCCCUCCAGCAUCAUCCUCCCCCCAGCAGGCUCUGUUAAGGCCUCAGUUGCUCCUCUUGUGUUUUUAGUUCCUCAAGGUACCAAACAGCUGGAAAGUGAGUGCUGGGGCCUGCGGAAGCAUACCUGAAGGGUAGACAGUCCUUCUUAUCCCACCUGAGAUGGCUACUUGUCUGUCUGCUGAGUUCUGCUGUAGCAGCCUGGUGUGGCAGGGACUUCUACUCUUCUGUUGAGCUAUUGCCACCAUAGCCAGGCCAGGCAGACUUCAGCUGGUAGGGGUCCUAGAGCUGCUUCAAUUGAGGGCUUUGUUCUCCCCACUUACACUGUUGACAUCUAUUUUCCAAAGUGUGUUUAGAUUGCUCAUUGCUAAGAAUCAUUGUCUUUUCCUGUGUUAAUGUUUGUUUAAGUGAGGAAAGCACAGUGUAAGCUGGUAAAGGCUCCUCACUGUGCACCAGAGCAAAUGGCCUAUCCCCAGCCUCUGCUGAUAGCAUGUUGCAAUGUCCAUGUGUUUCAGGGUCCUUGAGCUAGCAUAAGACAGGUUAAUGAAGAAUAUUUCUUAGUAGUUCCUUUUUGUUUUCCUUUUCAAUUUACAAAAGUAAAGCAUUUAUUAAUGUCUGACUUAAGAAUGUAAAAUGAUUCUGUAUCAAUGUAAAUAAGAUUAUCUACUGCAAAAGAUAUUUAAAACCUUAAUUGUGGUCAUUUCUUUUUUGAAAAAAUUCAAAAGUUCACCUUCUGCAGGUGGCUCUGCAGAGGGUGGCUGGAGAGUCAGCUGCCUUUACCCUCAAGGUCAUGCCUACUCCCCCACCCCCUAGCUUGCUGAAUCCAGGGCACUGACCCACACUGCAUGCUCAGAGCAGGCAGGCAGUAAAUAUUUUAUUGAACAAAACAUUGGGGGAGUAUUCCAAGUUUGCAGAAUGUCACUGUUGAGCCUUUUUUAUCCAUCAGCUCUUUCCCAAUCUUUUCUCCACCCAGUCCAGUGAACACUCUCUCACCUCUCCCUGCUCAGUCCAGAACACCAGGCAGGGUAUGUGUAAGCCAGGCAUCAGAGCUCUGCUUGGAGCCCAGACUAGUUAAGCUAAAAUUUUAAUGUAAAAAAUGCAAAGACUCUGAAAAUAAUUCAGGAAGAAAAAAAUAUCAAUAGAGGGCAUAGUAUGUGUAGAUCCUAGUGAGCCCAUGCUCAUCUUAUAGCAGGGAGGAGGAUCAAAAGAAAACAGACGAGGCCUGAGUUCUGAUAAAGUAGCAGGGAGGUAGGGAUGGAAAACCAGGGAGAUAAAACCUGAGGAAUCUGAAUGUGGAGAGGGUCACAUAACACUUGGGAGGGGGAAAGUUACAUAACACUAGGGUAAAGUAGCCUAUAGAAUUGAAUAUAACCAUAUAUGGAUUAGAUCUUGCUUUUUGCUUCUGUAACCUGCUUGCAAGGUGAGACCCCUUCGUUCUCAGGGCUCAGUCUUUGGAUACGAGUCUGCUGGGUCUGUGCCAGCACAAUAAAAUGUUGCUUCCUGCUAAACUGCCUCA
rnacentral:lncRNA from 1 species